UACAGAGGUCCCGAGCGUUGUUCGGAUUCACUGGGCGUAAAGGGUGCGUAGGUGGUGAGGCAAGUCGGAUGUGAAAUCUCCGGGCUCAACCCGGAAAUGGCAUUGGAAACUACCUUGCUUGAGGAUUUGAGGGGGGAUUGGAAUACUUGGUGUAGCAGUGAAAUGCGUAGAUAUCAAGUGGAACACCAGUGGCGAAGGCGAAUCCCUGGAAAAUACCUGACACUGAGGCACGAAAGCCAGGGGAGCAAACGGG
rnacentral:rRNA from 1 species